GGGUGAGUAACACGUAUGCAACCUGCCCCUGUCAGGGGGACAACCCGCCGAAAGGCGGGCUAAACCCGCGUACAUGCCACCGGGGCAUCCCGGAGGCAGGAAAGGCUUCGGCCGGACAGGGAUGGGCAUGCGGCGCAUUAGGCAGUAGGCGGGGUAACGGCCCACCUAACCGACGAUGCGUAGGGGUUCUGAGAGGAAGGUCCCCCACACUGGUACUGAGACACGGACCAGACUCCUACGGGAGGCAGCAGUGAGGAAUAUUGGUCAAUGGUCGGGAGACUGAACCAGCCAAGCCGCGUGAGGGAUGAAGGUACAGAGUAUCGUAAACCUCUUUUGUCAGGGAACAAAGGCGGGGACGUGUCCCCGGAUGAGUGUACCUGAAGAAAAAGCAUCGGCUAACUCCGUGCCAGCAGCCGCGGUAAUACGGAGGAUGCGAGCGUUAUCCGGAUUUAUUGGGUUUAAAGGGUGCGCAGGCGGUCUGUUAAGUCAGCGGUCAAAGCUCGGGGCUCAACCCCGGCCCGCCGUUGAAACUGGCAGUCUCGAGUUGGAGAGAAGUAUGCGGAAUGCGCGGUGUAGCGGUGAAAUGCAUAGAUAUCGCGCAGAACUCCGAUUGCGAAGGCAGCAUGCCGGCUCCACACUGACGCUGAGGCACGAAAGCGUGGGUAUCGAACAGGAUUAGAUACCCUGGUAGUCCACGCAGUAAACGAU
rnacentral:rRNA from 1 species